CUUUUCGUGUGACUCUCUAGGUCCUUAAGCACUUUAGGGAGGAAAGCCUCUCUUUUGGGACAAAGAUCAUGGACCCACAACACGUGGAGCAGCGUCCUUCCAAGUCACCACCACCACCACCAUCACCACCACCACCGUCAUGCCUGCACAAGCAUCUGUGUACACUCAUUCUGUGCCCUGAACAACUCCUGACUCUGAUGCAGAGCAAAAACAAAGGGGGAAGCAGCCAACGGUUCCAUCCAGAAGCUGCAGGAAAUCUAUGCAAAACCACUCUGUUGUCAUUUGCCUGCAGAAGCCUGCCAGUCAAGCUCCCUACAGUAGGCUUUCUCCAUGGCGGCUUCUUCAGACCUCAGACUUGAUCUGGAAGGCUGUCCCUGUAGGUCUGCACACUCUGGAAGCCUUGAGAGAGACAGAUGUCUAGAGAAAGUAUACAAGCUGCUUUGCUCACUUCUGGGAUCUAAACUUGGGAAGCACUGAGCAGGCCUGAUUUGAGGGAGUCCAGACAGCAGGGAGUAGAGUCAUGAAGUACAACAGCUGGAUUGGCCGCACAUCUGUAAUCCUGGCACUCCUAGGUGUGAUGGGAGAGAGAGAGAGGAGGAUCAGCCAGCCUCACACAUGCACUACAGCAGCAGAAACAGCAAGAGAAACUGUGCCUCAGUACAGUGGAAAGAGAGAGCCAGCUCCUGAAAGCUGUCCUGUGAGCCCUGCAUGUAUACCAUGGUGCUUGUAUGCACACACAAACACACAUGUGUGAGUGCACAUAUAGUUUCCCAUGUAGGUGCAUUCAUACAUAAAUUUCAUAAGCACAUGUGUGCAUAUACAUGGAUAUACACAUACCCACAUGCAUGCACACACAUGCACGCAUUUGCAUAAGCACAUGUCCAUGUACAUACAGUUACCUAUGUAUGUGCAUGUGAACACACACUCAGAUGUGUAAAUGUAAUAACAGUAAGACCCUGUUUUGAAGAAACAAAAAUAAAACGAGAAGAGCCAAAGACCCAGGGAAAAUUAUUUUUAUGCUUAGGUAAAAGACUGAACAAAAGGACUCUGCUUUACUGACAAGGAUCUGGGACAUUUCUGAAUCUGGACUCCUUUUCUCUGAGCAUAGGACCAGCAGUCUGUCACAGGAGAAUCUUUAGAGGGAGGAGGGAGAGACGGGAGGUCAGAGUGGCUUCCUGCUUAUGCUGAAGGAUCACGUACAUCUCUUGCUAUCACCGUGUACGCCCUGGUCCUUCCUUCCUUGCUCAGCUCUCACUCACUGCUGACUGGAUAAAACCGAGAGUUCUGGGUUGGUCAGUCUCGAAUAGAGAUUGCCUUCCUGUGCAUGGAGACGCUAGGACUUGGAGUGUAAGUUGAGAUCACAGUAGCCGGUUGUGUUAUUGCUUCUGAGUUAAGGUAUCUAGGAAGCUUCCUCUCAAAAUGUUGAUAAUCAACAAAGAGAAAGCUACCACCACAGCAGGUAAGGUACCUGUGUUUGAGGCAAUUUCUUUUAAGUUUAGACUGACUUUGAACUUCCGACUCCCCUACCUCUGCUUUCGGAAUACUAGGGUUUCAGGCUAGUGCCACCAUGCUUCAAAUACAGUAAACCUUAUGUUUUGUUUGCUCUUUGUUUGGGGGUUUUUGUUUUAUGUUUUUGGCAAAUAAACCUCCAAGGGAAGAAGUUAAGAACCGAUCUAGAGCCAGGUGUGGUAGCAUUUUCCUUUAAUCCCAGCACUCAGGAGGCAGAGGCAGGAGGAUCUCUGUGAGUUGGAGGCUGGCCUGGUCUGUAAAGAGUGAAUUUCAGGACAUCAAAACAUGUCCCCAAAACAAACAAACAAAAAAGAACUAAAGUGGACAAGGGCGGCCUCAGCUAUAUAAAAGACUGUCUAUAGAAGACUCUGCCUAGCCUGAGCUACAUAAGAUGCUAUCUGUAAAGACUCUGCCUAGCCUGAGCUACAUAAGAUGCUAUCUGUAAAGACUCUGCCUAGCCUGAGCUACAUAAGAGGCUGUCUCUAAAGACUCUGCCUAGCCUGAGCUACAUAAGAGGCUGUCUCUAAAGACUCUGCCUAGCCUGAGCUACAUAAGAGGCUGUCUCUAAAGACUCUGUCUAGCCUGAGCUACAUAAGAGGUUGUCUCAGGGGGCUGGGGAUUUAGCUCAGUGGUAGAGCGCUUACCUAGGAAGCGCAAGGCCCUGGGUUCGGUCCCCAGCUCCGAAAAAAAGAACCAAAAAAAAAAAGAGGUUGUCUCAGUGGAAUUUAUGAAGGCUCAAUUUUGUAAAGAUUGAAGGGUAGAAGUAUAUUCACCCUCAAAUAUUCCACGUUGAUAGAAGAAUGAUUAUGAAUUAAAAGCAGAAAAAACAUUGGACGUAAGAAGGAUUCCGAUGCUGCAUUUCCUUCCUGAAGGGAAGAGCCAACACUCCCAUCAGAGGACCCUCUCCUGUGCUGGUCAAGCAUGCGCUCUAAGACACAAUCAAGGCUGAAAGAAACCUGUAUGAAACCCAGCCACAAAAAGUACCCCUCACCCAGAAUUGGCUCCCCCAGCCCACUACCCCUUGCCCUGGCACAGUUCCACAAUCUACAUAGAAUCUUUGCCCAACCUGUUCCCAGCUUUCCCAGUGCCCUCUGCCUUUUCCUUGCGGGGUGUGGGCUCCGAUGUCAUGCAAGCCAUCCUAAAUAUCGUUGUAUGCCCUGCUUCAGUUCAGGUAAUUUAAUUCUCAGGCUCGGCUGAAAUCCCUAUGGGAGUAGAAGUAACAAUUUUGUGUCCUCUGCAGAAGGAAGAAUUUCCUGUGGGCUAAUCUAUUAAUUGAGUGCAGCCCUAGCCAACUAGCAACAGGAUUAUCUUUGUUUUGAGCCUGGCAGAAAUGGUAACAAAGUGGAUUUGGAGGACUGGGCACGGUGUCACAAAUCUGCAACCUCAGUGUGGGAGGCGGACUCCAGCCUGGGCUGUGCUGUGAAGACCAAGCAAAUACAACUGGCAGAGGAUUGCCUCUGAAAUAUACACAGAGAGGAAGAGAAGAAAACUUACAAGUCAAACCAAUAAGAAGCUUCUUGGUUUUACCAGACACUGAGUACGUGAAACAAAUGACUUUUUGUCUCACCUGGGAGCGGAGACCCUGUUGGACCUAAGGUGGGCUUCUAAUCUUUUCCUGGCUCUGGGCUGACAACCCUGGUCAUGGAUUACAGGGGAUUAGGAGAGAAAAACAACAAAACGUGUGUGCCCAUCCAGUGGGGUCUGCUGUGUCAGCACCAGGGAUGGAGACAGAGCAGUCUCUGCAGACCCGUCCUUAUUUUAAUUCUGCAGCAGGAAGUGAAACGCAGGCUCUCGCAGCUCCGAGGGGGCAGGGUUGGAGCUCAGAGCCUAGCUGGCUCUUAACGGGUUCUUAGGCUAGCCCAGGUUGACUUCCUAGGAGUGGGAGAGCUGGGGGCUUGCGGUGGGGGCUUGCAGUGGCCUUCCACCACCCCGCCCCCAGCAGCCCUCCUCCACCUUGCCCGCUGCUGUGCACCACUGAUUUAGUGAAGACAUCCACACCCCCUUCCCGGAGCUGCUGGCUGCUCUGCUCUGACAAUUACUCUGGCUGCUGCAGAGAAGGGCCCAUACCCGCCGACAUACGGCUUUUUAAAGUGAUAAAUUGCAUUAGCAAAUUUCUUAUUACUCUGCUGUCAGGAGGGAGCUCCUGCCACAUUAGCUGACGCAGAGGCUGAUGUAGAGCUUCCUGGCCAUUAAUUACCAUGCCAAGGACUAAAGGGACACAGGGGCUCUUCGUGAAUGGGUGGAGGUCCCUAUUCCCUACCCUGUCCCCCUCCCCCCACUUAGUGAGAGAAAGAUCUAGAAAGACCUGGCUUGGUGACCCUUGAGUUAUCUUAGGUCUGGUUCUGCAUUGGCUACGUAUCUUGGGCUCCUGGUAUCUGUGGGUGGGGCACAGGAUGCCCAGAGACCUUCCAGGCUGCUUGGAGCUGGCUGUCCCUAGGGCCACUAAGAUCUGGCAGCCCAGAAUCUGCACUGCACCUCAUUUGAAGCUUUGUUUUCAAAGCAGAGGCUGGACUGCAGCCCAGAAAGGUGUUCUGGCCUCUCCUUGAGGUUUGAGGCCAGCAGUUCUUCUCCUUUGUCCUCACUCCCUGCUCCAGACAGCUGAAAAGUCUCCUCCCUGAAGGUGACAUCAUGUCUUCUGCUUCAGUCCCCUCUUGGUGGCUAUCCAGGGAACUGCAUAUUCUGGAUGCUCAACCCGGAUUUCCACCAACUCAGGCUUCCCACUCACACGAGAAUUACAUAAAGCUCAAACAUACUGAGGAGCAACAGUAAGAGGAAACACAGCCCAGCUUCUCAGUGUGUUUACUCUCCCAGAUUGAUAAACAGUGCUAGGGGCUCUGACAGAAGAAGCUGCUUCAGGAGAGGUGCACAGAAGAAGCAGCUUCAGGAGAGAUGCACGGCUGGUCCAAGGGGAGUGGGCCCCUCACGCCCCGGCCAUACAAGGCAGCAGCUCUGCUCUGAUCUAAGAUUGUCUGGGUAGAGGACACCAGACAUAAUCGAAUUGUUUCUCUGGUUACAUGGAAAGGCAGAGAAUAGGUCUGGAGCUGCAAGAACUUUGUGGGUCAGGUCUGUCAGCUUCUCAUUCUGAGGAACUGUGCCCGGAGGCUCCUGCAGUCAUAUUUCUGUGUUCCCACAUUCUCCGGCUCAAAGGGAGGUGGGGGAGGAGAAGGAGGCAGAGGCAGAGGGCUCUGCAGUGGGUAGAAGGAAGGUGUGUGUGGAGAAGAGGGUUCGAGGCAAGCUCUGAGUUCUUCACCAUACAGCUGGAGGCUGCCUAGAUGAAAUCUCUGAAAGAUCUGAUUUGCACAAAUGUAGCCUCAGAUCCUGUAUCAUCUUGAACCUGAAAUUGAAGUAAUUUCUGCUCUGUGAAAUCAGAGAAGUGUUCCUCUUUCUUGUCACUUCUCUGAAGUCUAACCUCCAUGAUAUGCCCAAAGGAUAGACCCAUGAACAAGUCCCUCAAGGUUUCAUGGCUGCCAAUUUAUUCUUCCGGUACCCAGGCUGUCCCCAUGAUUUCUAUCCUGGGUUCUUUUGAGAAUUAGGAGACACAGAUCACCAAUCUGUGUAUGCUGGCAUCAAUCAGUCCCUCUUGGGGCUUGAGGGGUGUGUCUAGACUUUUGUCCAGGGUUCAAAGACAGGUUUUCAAGCAUGCUUCUGGUCUGGUCCCACCUGACCCUCCCCCACCCUCUUGGUGGGUGCAAGCCUGGGGCUUGGCUCAUCUUGGUUAGUGUCCCAGGAUCCUUCUGGGGCAGGUACUACACAUCCCAUCUCCUUGUCUUCCCCUUUAAGGAUGUUGGCCAGGGUCCAGCAUCUCAGCCUCAGUCCUAAUGCUUGGCUCACUUUAGGGUAAGCCGUUUCCUGGGGCUCGUAUCCUAAACCUCCACAACUCUCUCUGCUUGUUUCCCUCCCUCUGCCCAUCACUGAAGGACACACACAUACACACACAAAUACACAGACGCAUACACAGACACGUAUAUACACAUAGACACACAUGAAUACACACACACACAUAUAUACACAUACACAUACACACACAGACACAUAUAUACACAUACACACACAGACACAUACAUAGACACACACAUGCAGACACACAUGCAGACACACACAGACACACACAGAUACACACAGACACACACAGAUACACACAGACAUCACAUACAUAGAUACACACAGACACACAUACACAGACAUACACAGAGAGACAUACAUACACACACAGACAACCACACAGAUACACACACACACAGACACACAGAGAGAUACAUAGAUAAACACACACAGACACACAGACACACACAUAUAUAAACACACACAGACACACACACUCACAGAGACACACACAGAUAGACACACACAGACACACACAGAGAUACAUAGAUAAACACACACAGACACAGACACACACAGACACAUAAUACACAGACAUACACCCAGAGACAGACAGACAGACGCACGCACACACACACAGAGACAGACACACACGCAUACACAUGCACACACACACACACACACAGAGAGAGAGAGAGAGAGAGAGAGAGAGAGAGUCUGAAAAGUAUGGGGUUGCUUGCCUAUCUCACUACUCUGGAGACUGAAGGAGAAUUUGGGGCCAGUCUGGACUACAUAAUAAGUCCCUCUCUUUGACCAUUUGUCCCUCCAAACUAAACUAAACUAAACUAAACUAAACUAAACUAAACUAAACUAAACUAAAACUAAAGCAACCUCAAAGAACCUUAACUCCAAGCUGGAGAGGAGCGGACAGGGGCUGGCUCGUGACCCUGAGGACCUAUCAGUCUCUGGAUGCAGGACCAGGAUUCAUUGUUCUCCCCAUGAUGGAGCACCAGGAGUACCUGCCUCUGGGUCAGCUCCUGCUGUGGUCCCAGCCUGUCCCCUUCACUGACUGUCGGAACCAGCCUGGGCUCGGUCUGCAGUAAGGGCCUUUGUCCUGUAAGAUGAUACAACACUCAGGUCACAGAUGGUGAUGGCAGGAAACAAGGCAAGGACUUAACCUCCCUCCAGGAAAGGCUUGAAAUGGGGAAGUUGAAUGUACUCCAGCUCUCUGCAUGGGGCCUUUGUGCCCCUACCAGCCACAGCUCCAUAGAGAAGAACUCAGAGAAGUGAUCAUGAAAACCCAUGCCCGUCCAAGAUUUGGUUCCCAGGGCCUGUGCUGUCUGCUGCAGGGCUGCCUGUGCUGUACCCUGCAGGGCCUGUCUGCUGCAGGGCCUGCCUGCACUGUACCCUGCAGGACCUGUGCUGUCUGCUGCAUUAUCAGGGUUCUCCUGGCAGACCUGCCUCUUCUCCCACCAUGGCCAAACUUCUUUUGACAUGCUCAGAAACACAUAUCUGCUUGCUAAAGCUUGUGCGCGCGCACAUGCGUGCGUGCGUGCGUGUGUGUGUGUGUGUGUGUGUGUGUGUGUGUGUGUGUGUGUGUUCUUUGAUGACAAAGGAAGAACUUAACACAGAAAGACAUAGGCACGUCUGCUUCUGUCCAGAAAGGACCUUGCCCUGCUGUCUCCAGGGUGGGCAUGCGCUCUGUGAAAAUGGCAGGCUGAAGAACCACCUCUCAGGAUAACAAGGCCUCUGUUGGACACCAAGUUCACUCAGGGCUUCUUUCAGCCUAAGAACAGCACUGGUCUCUGUCAUCAGGCUUUUCCCACUCUUCCACAGCCCAUCUGGUCACUGGGACUCUCAGACCGCUGCCCUCCCAGGCCUCACAUCCUCCAGUGAGAGGAAGGACAGACUUCUCUUCUGUCUCACGUCAAGUGCAAAGGCAUCUUAGUGGUGUCAUCCAUUCCGUGACUUCCUGAAGCAGACUGAAGUUGUGCAGCCCUAAUCCCAAGGCCAGUUCCAGGGCUGUCCUUCAUUGUUCUGAACCCAUGAAGGCCAAGAAGAGACUGGAAAUAGGGGGAGUGGGGUCAUUUCCUCGGGAGUUCAUGGAGAAGCAGGCUCAGCAGGAGGCACAGAAAGAGCUGGGAAUUGGCUGAGGGACAUCUCAGUGGCAAGAAACUCCUUUGAUGUGGAAGAAAGGCUUUGGGGCAGGGUUGGGGGAUUGUGAGCUGCAGGCUAGAGAAUGAGACUCACCCUGAGCCUGUAGGUAUUGAUACCUGAGCUAUACACCUCCACCUCCACCUCUACCUCCUCCACCUCCUCCUCCACCACCAUCACCUCCACCUCCUCCUCUACCAUCACCUCCACCUCCUCCACCUCCUCCUCCACCACCUCCACCUUCUCCUCCACCUCCACCUCCUCCACCUCCUUCACCUCCUCCACCUCCACCACCUCCACCUCCUCCUCCACCUCCUCCAUCUCCACCUUUUCCACCUCCACCUCCACCUCCUCCACCACCACCUCCACCACCACCUCCACCGACAGCAACGACAACAACCAUCCUGUGCUGUAUUACUGUCACAGCAUCUGUUCUCAUUGGCACUGAUCUCUGUCACUUCUGUACUGGUUACUAGAGUCUUGCUCAUCUCCUCCACUACCCUCUCCCCAGUGCUCCAGGCCAGUAACUUCUGUCCCAUUCCUUGCUGUCUCCUCAAGGCGCAUGAUGGUGCCUGGCUCACAGUGGAGAUGUGCCCUCGGUGGUUAAGCUGAUGCACUGUGACUAGGUCACACAGAAGUCGGGACAGAGAGGCCAGUGAGGGAGAAAGACGGAGAUCAUUGGAUGCCGCCCUUUUCACUGCUGUUUGGAGGCUUUCCCAGGCUAAGUGGCUAAGCAUCCUUCACGACCUGAGUUCUGCACAUAGAACGAAUCCUUUUGCAGCCAUUCCCACCUGGAAUGCCUGUGUCUAUGGAAUUGGAAGCUGCCAUCUUCUUGGAGUCCCAUCUGUUGGGAGGUAGAAUAAGCUCACAGAUCCUGCCAGAAGCUGGCCCUCAUUUGGUGUCUGGCAGCAGCUUGCUUUCCUCUUGGUCUGGGGCUUCCUCAGCGUGGGGUAUCUCCUCCGCAAAGCUCAGGCCCAGGUGGCUGCCUUAACCAGUGCUCUCCACUGUGCUCUGAGGGUUCCACAGAAGGAGACUCAUUAGUAAGUCUGUUUCCCCUAGCCAUCUCCCGGGGCAGUGGCGCCCAUGGUCCCUUUGUUCUUAACUUAGGGUUGCCACGCAAUGGGUCUGAACAUUGUGUCUGCACUUUGGUACCCUGCGGCGUUGGGAGCUGGCUGGGUGGGGCUGGGGGUAGGACUCACUCAUCUUCUCAGACACAGAGCACAAACACAGGUGACCUCCCUGGGAAGAGAAGGCAUCUCCUGUCCACAGCCAAGAAGCAAGGAGGGAGACAGACUCUCUCCUGUGGCCUGAUCAGCUGUCUGGUAUGCUGCCCGUGAAACCAGAAUCCCCAUCCCGAGUGAGCAAGCCCUCCACUCCACACCCCCAAUCCAAUUUUCCAUUAAUGAAAUAUUCAGAGGUUCUGCAGCCUCCUCAGCCCUGUCCUGAAGGGAGGGAUCCCUUCCAAUCACCCCAGCUGGAAGCAUCCCUCAGUCUCCCGUCAGGUCCUUGUCCUCCCACCUGGGCGAUUUUAAUAGCACAACGUGUCCCUCAUCCUCCACAUCAAGAAUAUCACCCCCUUCCUCCCCACUAGAUAUCCCCGACCCCUGGGCCCCAGUGCUUACAGCCGCAGCAAGGAAGAAUCAUUUCUCAGCAGUGACCAGCCUGUCACAGGGGAUGGAGACCUUCGACCUGAGGCAAUGGCUAGUUUGCUGAUGUUGGUUUCCCUCGUGACAGCUACAGUCCUGAGUGGGAAGUAGGAAUGGAAAUCUCCAAUGACCAAGCCAUGGGGUGGAGGUGGCUGGUGGCUCCGUAAUCCCAGCAUGCAGGAGGCUAAAGCUAGAGGCUCUCCAGUUCCAGGAAAAAUACACAAAGCCAAAGAUUCUACACGAUUGAUUGGUUAUUGAUUAAGCUUGGUUAUUGAGUUGAAAUGCUGCAUAUUUGAAGCCAUGUUAUUUUGGCUAUCGUUAGUCUCCUUGGUAGUCAUUUAUCAGUCAUCUGUGGCCGACAUAGAAGAUCCCCUCCACUGUCGGAUAAAAGCCUCAGAAUAUAUUGAUGUAACGACCACCGGCUUCUACCCACACCAAGGCAAAGAGUCAGCUCAUGUCUAGAACCUGCAGCAGAAGCCCCCUGCUUUGCCAUAGCACGCCUACCUGAGGUUGUCACCAAUCUUUAGGAAAUGCGCUGAUUUAAAACUUUCUUUUAUUCGGUGACUUUAAAAGUACAUGUAACUGCUUCCAUAUUCGUGCUAUUCAGAAUAAUCUGGAUCCCAGGAUCCUGGGCCAUGUGAUGAACCAGCCAGCCUGCCCCCAUCUUGGGCUUAUAACCAUCUUACGGCAAAGACAAACUAUGCCUACCUAUGAUUACAUUUAUGCCUACCUAUGAUUACAUUUGUUUCUCAAGGAUUGGGCUCUGCCCCCACCUGUAACCUUACCUACAAAUGGUUCUGCACGGUCUGUUCAAGAAGCAGUAAAUAUGCCUUUGUUUCAAAAGGUUGUAAUGA